UUCCCGUCCCUUGUUAAAUUAAUAAGUUCAGGAUUAGAAUAAGAGGGAAAUGAAGAGGAGGGUACACUAUUAAUUACACUCUACAUAUGUACAAAGAAAAAGGAAUUGUAUCAUAUGAUAUAUGUACGUAACUAUUUAAAUAUGUUCAUACGAUAUGGAUUGAUUAUAGUUCAAUGCUGUUCUGGAAUGUGUGACGUGAUGGUCCCAAUAGAAAAGAUAUGAGUUCAUGAUAAUGUGAGUGAGUGAUUUGAAGAAGAAGGAGGAGUUAAAAGUGGGGAUACAAAAGGUGUAACACACUCUGACUCUGUAGACAGUGUCCAUCUUGAUACCAACAAUCUUGACAGUUUCCGUUUACUGAAAUGAUAGAGGAGAUAGUAAUAGGUCAUUCAAAGCUUAUAACGUCAGCCAUUGUGGUGUGAAACAUUAGGAAUUUACAAAUUACAAUCACUAUAUCUCCAAAAAUUAAUCCACCGUAAGACUGUAUUUUUGAUAGGGGACAUAACAAUGUAGUCCAUGUGGAUAUUGCAGUCGUUUAAUAUGAUACAUACAUGGUUACACUUUAUGCAUAGCUCCCUGAUGUAUACCAAAUUACCAAUACAGAAUGGAAAAGGGAGUUUCACAUAUUGGGAGCACUGUUGAAGAUGAAUACAGCCUCUCAGGCUUUUA
rnacentral:lncRNA from 1 species